rnacentral:rRNA from 1 species
GCGCAGCAGGCGAGAAACUUUACAAUGUGCGAAAGCACGAUAAGGGAACUCUGAGUGCCUCCUAAGGAGGCUGUUCAGGUGUCUAAAAGCACCUGAAGGAAGGGCUGGGUAAGACCGGUGCCAGCCGCCGCGGUAACACCGGCAGCCCAAGUGGUAGCCACGUUUAUUGGGUCUAAAGCGUCCGUAGCCGGCUGGGUAAGUUCCUUGGGAAAUUUGGCUGCUUAACAGUCAAGCUUUCAGGGAAUACUGCUCGGCUUGGGACCGGGAGAGGUCAGAGGUACUCCAGGGGUAGGGGUGAAAUCCAUUAAUCCUUGGGGGACCACCGGUAGCGAAGGCGUCUGACCAGACCGGGUCCGACGGUGAGGGACGAAGGCUA